ensembl:snRNA U6 U6 spliceosomal RNA
GUGCUCCCUCUGGCAACACAUCUACUAAAAUUGGAAUGAAACAGAGGAGACUGAUUUCUGCACAAGGAUGAUAUGCAAGAUUGUGAAACAUCCAGUAUUUAA